rnacentral:rRNA from 1 species
AGUGAACGCUGGCGGUAGGCCUAACACAUGCAAGUCGAACGGCAGCACAGUAAGAGCUUGCUCUUACGGGUGGCGAGUGGCGGACGGGUGAGGAAUACAUCGGAAUCUACUUUUUCGUGGGGGAUAACGUAGGGAAACUUACGCUAAUACCGCAUACGACCUACGGGUGAAAGCAGGGGAUCUUCGGACCUUGCGCGAUUGAAUGAGCCGAUGUCGGAUUAGCUAGUUGGCGGGGUAAAGGCCCACCAAGGCGACGAUCCGUAGCUGGUCUGAGAGGAUGAUCAGCCACACUGGAACUGAGACACGGUCCAGGCUCCUACGGGAGGCAGCAGUGGAGAAUAUUGGACAAUGGGCGCAAGCCUGAUCCAGCCAUACCGCGUGGGUGAAGAAGGCCUUCGGGUUGUAAAGCCCUUUUGUUGGGAAAGAAAAGCAGCAGGUUAAUACCCCGCUGUUCUGACGGUACCCAAAGAAUAAGCACCGGCUAACUUCGUG